UACCUGCAGCUCAAGUGGUGACCGCUAUUAUUGGGCCUAAAACGUUCGUAGCCGGUUUGGUAAAUGCCUGGGUAAAUCGUGUAGCUUAACUAUACGAAUUCCGGGUAGACUGCCAAACUUGAGACCGGGAGAAGCUAGAGGUACUCCUGGGGUAGAGGUGAAAUUCUGUAAUCCUAGGGGGACCACCAGUGGCGAAGGCGUCUAGCUAGAACGGGUUUGACGGUGAGGAACGAAGCCCUGGGGCGCAAACCGGAUUAGAUACCCGGGUAGUCCAGGGUGUAAACGCUGCUUGCUUGAUGUUAGUUGGGCUCCGAGCCCAAUUAGUGUCGGAGAGAAGUUGUUAAGCAAGCUGCCUGGGAAGUACGAUCGCAAGAUUGAAACUUAAAGGAAUUGGCGGGGGAGCACAGCAACGGGUGGAGCGUGCGGUUU
rnacentral:rRNA from 1 species